AACGCGAAGAACCUUACCUACCCUUGACAUGCCAGGAACUUGCCAGAGAUGGCUUGGUGCUCGAAAGAGAGCCUGGACACAGGUGCUGCAUGGCUGUCGUCAGCUCGUGUCGUGAGAUGUUGGGUUAAGUCCCGCAACGAGCGCAACCCUUGUCAUUAGUUGCCAUCAUUUGGUUGGGCACUCUAAUGAGACUGCCGGUGACAAACCGGAGGAAGGUGGGGAUGACGUCAAGUCCUCAUGGCCCUUAUGGGUAGGGCUUCACACGUCAUACAAUGGUCGGUACAGAGGGUUGCCAAGCCGCGAGGUGGGGCCAAUCCCAGAAAGCCAGUCUCAGUUCGGAUUGGGGUCUGCAACUCGACCCCAUGAAGUCGGAGUCGCUAGUAAUCGCAGAUCAGCAACGCUGCGGUGAAUACGUUCCCGGGUCUUGUACACACCG
rnacentral:rRNA from 1 species